AUGAGAUAUGGGUUGUUCGGCAGUUUGAGCAAAAAACACUAUGGUGCUUCAUUUCGUCGUGCCAGGCAAGGUGCCAUGCGACGGAGGUUCAGCAUCGGCUACAAAAUCGCCAUGGAUUGGGGUACAACAGAGAAGGGGUUCAUCAUGCCACUAACAGGCAAGGUGCGCGGUGCUAUGGCUCCGUUUCCGGCCCCGGUGGCGUCUUCCGUUGGUCCCGCUGCCGUGCGGCGGCGCCGUUUUUGGCAUUGGCUACAAGAUGGGCAAGGUCUGCUCCUAUCCUCCGGUUUCUCUGAGCCUAUCUGA
rnacentral:rRNA from 1 species